CUUGGUCAUUUAGAGGAAGUAAAAGUCGUAACAAGGUUUCCGUAGGUGAACCUGCGGAAGGAUCAUUACCUAGAGUUUGUAGACUUCGGUCUGCUACCUCUUACCCAUGUCUUUUGAGUACCUUCGUUUCCUCGGCGGGUCCGCCCGCCGAUUGGACACCAUUCAAACCCUUUGCAGUUGCAAUCAGCGUCUGAAAAAACAUAAUAGUUACAACUUUCAACAACGGAUCUCUUGGUUCUGGCAUCGAUGAAGAACGCAGCGAAAUGCGAUAAGUAGUGUGAAUUGCAGAAUUCAGUGAAUCAUCGAAUCUUUGAACGCACAUUGCGCCCCUUGGUAUUCCAUGGGGCAUGCCUGUUCGAGCGUCAUUUGUACCUUCAAGCUCUGCUUGGUGUUGGGUGUUUGUCUCGCCUCUGCGUGUAGACUCGCCUUAAAACAAUUGGCAGCCGGCGUAUUGAUUUCGGAGCGCAGUACAUCUCGCGCUUUGCACUCAUAACGACGACGUCCAAAAGUACAUUUUUACACUCUUGACCUCGGAUCAGGUAGGGAUACCCGCUGAACUUAAGCAUAUCAAUAAGCGGAGGAAAAGAAACCAACAGGGAUUGCCCUAGUAACGGCGAGUGAAGCGGCAACAGCUCAAAUUUGAAAUCUGGCGUCUUUGGCGUCCGAGUUGUAAUUUGCAGAGGGCGCUUUGGCAUUGGCAGCGGUCCAAGUUCCUUGGAACAGGACGUCACAGAGGGUGAGAAUCCCGUACGUGGUCGCUAACCUUUACCGUGUAAAGCCCCUUCGACGAGUCGAGUUGUUUGGGAAU
rnacentral:sRNA from 1 species